CGUUACGCUCAAAGUCCAAAUAAACUCACAAACACAAUGAUCAACCCAUAGUCAUUCCUAGAAGGGCCUAUAUUGCAGUGCCCUCUAAUCCUGCUAGGUCAUGAGUUGGGUUUGCUUUGGUAUCAUUUGCAAUGACCUAGAACAUAACCCAAAAAGAUUUUUGGAUUCAUUGGCCCUGUCUAAGUAUUCAUGAUCUUCCCAAUGCAUAAUCAUAUAGGACUAAACACACACCCACACAAGCCCUGGCAUACACCCACUCACAAAUUUAGUGAUGGUAAAAGCAAAAUAAAAUGAACCACAUGCAUAAUAUGCAAGGACCAAAAUGAUUACAUUU
rnacentral:lncRNA from 1 species